ACUCAGGGACUUCUACUCUUGUCUCCAGCAACCUCAUGCAUGCAAUUCACCGCCAGAAGAAUGGACAGUGUGUUUAUUGAACAACUACUCCUUUUCAGUGUUCUUCCUUGGAUUAAAGGACUAGGAGAAAACCCUGCAACCCUGUGAGUCCGCCCGUUUGUUGAAAUCAGUUCAAGAUCAUCCAGGUCUGCAAAACUCGGCUGAAGCAGCUUGUUGCAUAAUUUACCAGAGAAGAGAGGGCCAUCUGGAGAGCCAAUCUGGAGAACUCGAGCAAAGGCAGAGUCUUUUUUUUUCUCCCCCUCUUAAGUUAUCCUUAUUGACUCUCUGCCUAUAUUAGGCCUCCGCACUCCUUGGCCUGCAUUAUGAAAGAUGGCUCUCCAGGUCAAAGGCCUUGGCCUUCUGGCAUCGAACUCUGACAGAGUACUACCUGGCCCACAAAUGCCAGUAGCCGCACCUACUAUAGCUGUUCAAAUCUUUCAGUCAACUCCUACCAGUCUUGCCCCAUGACAUUGUGGGGUCCUGUGUCAUUCCAAAGGACAGCUGGUUUACGCAUAUGCAGAGGAGGCAGCUACCCACAAAGGGAUGUGGGAAAGCUCUACCAAAUGAAAAAAAAUAAAAAAUGAAAAGAAA